rnacentral:rRNA from 1 species
AGGACGAACGCUGGCGGCGUGCUUAACACAUGCAAGUCGAACGAGGCCCUGCCUUCGGGCAGGUGACCUAGUGGCGAACGGGUGAGUAACACGUGGGCAACCUACCCUCAGCUCUGGGAUAACCCCGGGAAACCGGAGCUAAUACCGGAUAUGACCUUGCACGACAUCGUGCUUGGUGGAAAGUUUUUCGGCUGAGGAUGGGCCCGCGGCCUAUCAGCUUGUUGGUGGGGUAAUAGCCCACCAAGGCGACGACGGGUAGCCGGCCUGAGAGGGCGAUCGGCCACACUGGGACUGAGACACGGCCCAGACUCCUACGGGAGGCAGCAGUGGGGAAUAUUGCGCAAUGGGCGAAAGCCUGACGCAGCGACGCCGCGUGAGGGAUGAAGGCCUUCGGGUUGUAAACCUCUUUCAGCAGGGACGAAGCGAAAGUGACGGUACCUGCAGAAGAAGCACCGGCCAACUACGUGCCAGCAGCCGCGGUAA